rnacentral:lncRNA from 1 species
GAGUCAGAGGGAUGAUCGAUCAAAUGUAUGGGAAACACGAAAACUGUGAUAUAAAAUGGUGUGUGUUUUUUUUAGACAGAGCAUUAUACAGGCACACAAAUUUACCAUUCGGAAUGGACUUGAAAUCUGAAAGUCUAAAAGCUGAUCUGGACAAUUAUUUUUGGGAAAAAUAGAGAGCCAAUCAAAGAAACUAUCAAAUCUUGCCAGUUCCCAAGCAAACGAGAGCUUUAACCAAACGGUCUCAACCAUGGCAGCAAAAAAAAUAAACAUUAUUCCGGCUCCUCCAGUUUAAAUUAACGUGACAGUGCCGCAGUAUUACAAAAGAAUGAGGGAUAUGGUUAUUUGUAAAAGGUAAUGUUAAAUAUUUGAAAAUUACACUUUUAUGAUUUUUUUCCAUAAAAAGGUUAAUCCGACGUAUAUUGAUGAAAAGAAAUAUUCUGUUCAAGCAUAUGACAAAAAAAUAUUCAGAAUCCAGAUUUUCCCCUGAUAGUUUUUAAUUUUGAAGAAGAAGAUAAAAUGAUUAUUUGCAUCACAGACUCAAUAAAAAAAUUUUGUGCUAAACAGUUUUUGUUUACUCCCACAACACAGUUAUACCCUCUCCCCCAACUGAAAUUCAAUAAUGACUCCGUAAUGUUCAAAAACAAGUUAAGGGAAAUCUGUUAUCUCACUGAACAACUAGUAUAUUUCAAAGAUGAAAUGUUAUUUUAAGAAAUAAAAUAUAGAAUUGAAAUGGGGCAUGUGUUAAACGGGUUAAAUAGACAACAAACCUAACUAAAUAUAACAUGAACCAUGAUCAAUGCUUUAACAUCAAAGUAAAAAUUUUAAACAAAAAGAAAAAGUUAAUUCUUAAAUAACUGUUAAGACGAUACUCAUAUUUUAUUUAUAUUGUUUUUAAGGGUAAGUGAAGCAGCUGGAUUGUCACCAGGGAAUAAUACUAUCAAAAGGGAUAUACGAUUGAAUGAAAA